GGCAAAAUACUCUGUACUGAAUUUUCAAUGUAAUCUUAAAUUCUAUGUUUAAUUGAGAUGACCCAAAUUCUUUUUUUUUUUUUUUUUUGAUACGCAGUCUCGCUCUGUUGCCCAGGCUAAAGUGCAGUGGCAUGAUCUCGGCUCACUGCAACCUCCACCUCCCGGGUUCACACCAUUCUCCUGCCUCAGCCUCCCAAGUAGCAGGGACUACAGGCACCCGCCACCACACCUGGCUAACUUUUUGUAUUUUUAGUGGAGACAGAGAUGACCCAAAUUCUUAACUGCCUCAUAAAUACUGUUAAUAUAUUGAAAGUUUUGCCCUAGGCUUUUAUUAAAGUCAACUAUAUAGAAAAAGUUUCUCCUAUCUUGAGAUGUAUUAUUAAAGACAUCAUCCCCAAUAAUAUUCCAUAUUCUCUGUUUAGGAACCCCAAUUGUUUUCAAAUUCAAGAAUUCAGAGAAAUCUACUUGUUACAAAAGAGUAGAAUGGAUAAUGGGCACCACAUCCUGAAGUGUAUUUUAAUAAAAAUUCAUGUAAGAUGGUUCAAAAUUUCAUUAACUACUUUAUAUAAAAAGAAAUGCCUGGGAGAA
rnacentral:lncRNA from 10 species